GCCUGACUGGCUCAGUCGGUUGAGCGUCCGACUUCGGCUCAGGUCACGGUCUCGUGGUCUGUGGGUUCGAGCCCCACGUCAGGCU